rnacentral:rRNA from 1 species
GUGAGGAAUAUUGGUCAAUGGGCGAGAGCCUGAACCAGCCAAGUAGCGUGAGGGAUGACUGCCCUAUGGGUUGUAAACCUCUUUUGCAGGGGGGUAAAGUGGUCCACGUGUGGAUCAUUGCAAGUACCCUGCGAAUAAGGAUCGGCUAACUCCGUGCCAGCAGCCGCGGUAAUACGGAGGAUCCGAGCGUUAUCCGGAUUUAUUGGGUUUAAAGGGAGCGUAGGCGGGGGUUUAAGUCAGCUGUGAAAUGCCGUGGCCCAACCAUGGAACUGCAGUUGAAACUGGACCUCUUGAGAGUACAUAAGGAAGGCGGAAUUCGUGGUGUAGCGGUGAAAUGCAUAGAUAUCACGAAGAACUCCGAUUGCGAAGGCAGCUUUCCGGGGUACAUCUGACGCUGAAGCUCGAAAGUGCGGGAAUCAAACAGGAUUAGAUACCCGGGUAGUCC